GAUGAAGAACGUAGCGAAAUGCGAUAAGUAUGUGAAUUGCAGAAUUCAGUGAAUCAUCGAAUCUUUGAACGCACAUUGCGCCCGCCAGUAUUCUGGCGGGCAUGCCUGUUCGAGCGUCAUUUCAACCAUCAAGCCCCCGGCUUGUGUUGGGGACCUGCGGCUGCCGCAGGCCCUGAAAACCAGUGGCGGGCUCGCUAGUCACUCCGAGCGUAGUAAUACAUCUCGCUCAGGGCGUGCUGCGGGUUCCGGCCGUUAAAAAGCCUUAUUUACCCAAGGUUGACCUCGGAUCAGGUAGGAAGACCCGCUGAACUUAAGCAUAUCAAUAAGCGGAGGA
rnacentral:misc_RNA from 1 species